UGGGGAAUAUUGGACAAUGGGCGAAAGCCUGAUCCAGCCAUGCCGCGUGUGUGAAGAAGGUCUUCGGAUUGUAAAGCACUUUAAGUUGGGAGGAAGGGCAGUAAGCGAAUACCUUGCUGUUUUGACGUUACCGACAGAAUAAGCACCGGCUAACUCUGUGCCAGCAGCCGCGGUAAUACAGAGGGUGCAAGCGUUAAUCGGAAUUACUGGGCGUAAAGCGCGCGUAGGUGGUUCGUUAAGUUGAAUGUGAAAGCCCCGGGCUCAACCUGGCAACUGCAUCCAAAACUGGCGAGCUAGAGUAGGGCAGAGGGUGGUGGAAUUUCCUGUGUAGCGGUGAAAUGCGUAGAUAUAGGAAGGAACACCAGUGGCGAAGGCGACCACCUGGGCUCAUACUGACACUGAGGUGCGAAAGCGUGGGGAGCAAACAGG
rnacentral:rRNA from 1 species